GGGUCAGUAGGUUGGUCGUGCCACCGGUACGUACUGGUCUCACUGAUUCCUCCUUCCUGAAGAACCGUAAUGCCAUUAAUUUGGUGUUGUGGGGAAACAGGACUGUUACUUUGAAAAAAUUAGAGUGUUUAAAGCAAGCUAACGCUUGAAUACAUUAGCAUGGAAUAACGAAAUAGGACGAUCGAUCCUAUUUUGUUGGUUUCUAGGAUUGACGUA
rnacentral:rRNA from 1 species